rnacentral:rRNA from 1 species
AUAGUUUGAUCAUGGCUCAGAUUGAACGCUGGCGGCAGGCCUAACACAUGCAAGUCGAGCGAGAAAGCCCUUCGGGGUGAGUACAGCGGCGGACGGGUGAGUAACGCGUAGGAAUCUACUCAGUAGUGGGGGACAACUUGGGGAAACCCAAGCUAAUACCGCAUACGCCCUAUGGGGGAAAGCGGGGGACCUUCGGGCCUCGCGCUAUUGGAUGAGCCUGCGUCGGAUUAGCUAGUUGGUGGGGUAAGAGCCCACCAAGGCGACGAUCCGUAGCUGGUCUGAGAGGAUGAUCAGUCACACUGGAACUGAGACACGGUCCAGACUCCUACGGGAGGCAGCAGUGGGGAAUAUUGCGCAAUGGGCGAAAGCCUGACGCAGCCAUGCCGCGUGUGUGAAGAAGGCCUUAGGGUUGUAAAGCACUUUCAAUUGGGAAGAAAAGCUUGUUGUUAAUAGCGACAAGCCCUGACAUUACCUUUAGAGGAAGCACCGGCUAACUCCGUGCCAGCAGCCGCGGUAAUACGGAGGGUGCAAGCGUUAAUCGGAAUUACUGGGCGUAAAGCGCGCGUAGGCGGUUGAUUAAGUCGGAUGUGAAAGCCCUGGGCUUAACCUGGGAACUGCAUUCGAUACUGUUCGACUAGAGUACGAGAGAGGGAGGUAGAAUUCCACGUGUAGCGGUGAAAUGCGUAGAUAUGUGGAGGAAUACCGGUGGCGAAGGCGGCCUCCUGGCUCGAUACUGACGCUGAGGUGCGAAAGCGUGGGGAGCAAA